rnacentral:rRNA from 1 species
AUUCGUCACACUAUCAUUAACUGAAUCCAUAGGUUAAUGAGGCGAACCGGGGGAACUGAAACAUCUAAGUACCCCGAGGAAAAGAAAUCAACCGAGAUUCCCCCAGUAGCGGCGAGCGAACGGGGAGGAGCCCAGAGCCUGAAUCAGCAUGUGUGUUAGUGGAAGCGUCUGGAAAGGCGCGCGAUACAGGGUGACAGCCCCGUACACAAAAGCGCAUGUGCUGUGAGCUCGAUGAGUAGGGCGGGACACGUGGUAUCCUGUCUGAAUAUGGGGGGACCAUCCUCCAAGGCUAAAUACUCCUGACUGACCGAUAGUGAACCAGUACCGUGAGGGAAAGGCGAAAAGAACCCCGGCGAGGGGAGUGAAAAAGAACCUGAAACCGUGUACGUACAAGCAGUGGGAGCCCCACCACUAAGCCAGUGGUGAACUCCACAUACGCAUCCUUUGCUGAGGAUACGGUUAACGGAGCGAAAGCGACGUUCAACCUCAAAAGAAGCAGAGGGGGCUUAGUGGUGGGGUGACUGCGUACCUUUUGUAUAAUGGGUCAGCGACUUAUAUUCUGUAGCAAGGUUAACCGUAUAGGGGAGCCGGAGGGAAACCGAGUCUUAAUUGGGCGUUAAGUUGCAGGGUAUAGACCCGAAACCCGGUGAUCUAGCCAUGGGCAGGUUGAAGGUUGGGUAACACUAACUGGAGGACCGAACCGACUAAUGUUGAAAAAUUAGCGGAUGACCUGUGGCUGGGGGUGAAAGGCCAAUCAAACCGGGAGAUAGCUGGUUCUCCCCGAAAGCUAUUUAGGUAGCGCCUCGUGAAUUCAUCUCCGGGGGUAGAGCACUGUUUCGGCUAGGGGGUCAUCCCGACUUACCAACCCGAUGCAAACUGCGAAUACCGGAGAAUGUUAUCACGGGAGACACACGGCGGGUGCUAACGUCCGUCGUGAAGAGGGAAACAACCCAGACCGCCAGCUAAGGUCCCAAAGUCAUGGUUAAGUGGGAAACGAUGUGGGAAGGCCCAGACAGCCAGGAUGUUGGCUUAGAAGCAGCCAUCAUUUAAAGAAAGCGUAAUAGCUCACUGGUCGAGUCGGCCUGCGCGGAAGAUGUAACGGGGCUAAACCAUGCACCGAAGCUGCGGCAGCGACACUGUGUGUUGUUGGGUAGGGGAGCGUUCUGUAAGCCUGUGAAGGUGGCCUGUGAGGGUUGCUGGAGGUAUCAGAAGUGCGAAUGCUGACAUAAGUAACGAUAAAGCGGGUGAAAAGCCCGCUCGCCGGAAGACCAAGGGUUCCUGUCCAACGUUAAUCGGGGCAGGGUGAGUCGACCCCUAAGGCGAGGCCGAAAGGCGUAGUCGAUGGGAAACGGGUUAAUAUUCCCGUACUUGGUGUUACUGCGAAGGGGGGACGGAGAAGGCUAUGUUGGCCGGGCGACGGUUGUCCCGGUUUAAGCGUGUAGGUGUGUGUUCCAGGUAAAUCCGGUUCACUUUAACACUGAGGCGUGACGACGAGGCACUACGGUGCUGAAGCAACAAAUGCCCUGCUUCCAGGAAAAGCCUCUAAGCAUCAGGUAACAUCAAAUCGUACCCCAAACCGACACAGGUGGUCAGGUAGAGAAUACCAAGGCGCUUGAGAGAACUCGGGUGAAGGAACUAGGCAAAAUGGUGCCGUAACUUCGGGAGAAGGCACGCUGACACGUAGGUGAAGUGAUUUACUCACGGAGCUGAAGUCAGUCGAAGAUACCAGCUGGCUGCAACUGUUUAUUAAAAACACAGCACUGUGCAAACACGAAAGUGGACGUAUACGGUGUGACGCCUGCCCGGUGCCGGAAGGUUAAUUGAUGGGGUCAGCGCAAGCGAAGCUCCUGAUCGAAGCCCCGGUAAACGGCGGCCGUAACUAUAACGGUCCUAAGGUAGCGAAAUUCCUUGUCGGGUAAGUUCCGACCUGCACGAAUGGCGUAAUGAUGGCCAGGCUGUCUCCACCCGAGACUCAGUGAAAUUGAACUCGCUGUGAAGAUGCAGUGUACCCGCGGCAAGACGGAAAGACCCCGUGAACCUUUACUAUAGCUUGACACUGAACAUUGAGCCUUGAUGUGUAGGAUAGGUGGGAGGCUUUGAAGCGUGGACGCCAGUCUGCGUGGAGCCGACCUUGAAAUACCACCCUUUAAUGUUUGAUGUUCUAACGUGGACCCGUGAUCCGGGUUGCGGACAGUGUCUGGUGGGUAGUUUGACUGGGGCGGUCUCCUCCUAAAGAGUAACGGAGGAGCACGAAGGUUGGCUAAUCCUGGUCGGACAUCAGGAGGUUAGUGCAAUGGCAUAAGCCAGCUUGACUGCGAGCGUGACGGCGCGAGCAGGUGCGAAAGCAGGUCAUAGUGAUCCGGUGGUUCUGAAUGGAAGGGCCAUCGCUCAACGGAUAAAAGGUACUCCGGGGAUAACAGGCUGAUACCGCCCAAGAGUUCAUAUCGACGGCGGUGUUUGGCACCUCGAUGUCGGCUCAUCACAUCCUGGGGCUGAAGUAGGUCCCAAGGGUAUGGCUGUUCGCCAUUUAAAGUGGUACGCGAGCUGGGUUUAGAACGUCGUGAGACAGUUCGGUCCCUAUCUGCCGUGGGCGCUGGAGAACUGAGGGGGGCUGCUCCUAGUACGAGAGGACCGGAGUGGACGCAUCACUGGUGUUCGGGUUGUCAUGCCAAUGGCACUGCCCGGUAGCUAAAUGCGGAAGAGAUAAGUGCUGAAAGCAUCUAAGCACGAAACUUGCCCCGAG